rnacentral:rRNA from 1 species
AUUGAACGCUGGCGGCAGGCCUAACACAUGCAAGUCGAACGAGUGGCGGACGGGUGAGUAAUGUCUGGGAAACUGCCUGAUGGAGGGGGAUAACUACUGGAAACGGUAGCUAAUACCGCAUACCAUCGGAUGUGCCCAGAUGGGAUUAGCUAGUAGUGGGGGUAAAGGCUCACCUAGGCGACGAUCCCUAGCUGGUCUGAGAGGAUGACCAGCAACACUGGAAUGUAGAAACGGGCCAGACUCCGACGGGAGGAAGCAGGGGGGAAUAUUGCAAAAGGGGAGAAAGCCGGAUGCAGCCAGGCGGCGUGUAUGAAGAAGGCCUGCGGGUUGGAAAGUACUUUCAGCGGGGAGGCGUUACCCGCAGAAGAAGCACCGGCUAACUCCGUGCCAGCAGCCGCGGUAAUAC